AAACUUGGACCAGUUGAAAAAAGAAAUACUCGAGAAAAAUGGGUCUGAGAACAGAUCUUCGUGUUUUCUUCAUCUUGCUUUUGUGGCUCAUCAUUCUCUUCUAUUCAUUUGAAACUUCCUCAGCUCGAAAAUUGAUUCUGAUUCGUAAACUUGGCUCGUGAGUAUCUAUGUCCAUUGCUUUCUUUUCGCAAUCUCUUCGUUGACUUGAUUAAGAUAAUUUGUUUAGCAUUCAGAUCGUUUAUUUCUUUAAUCUGAUGUGGUUAGUUGUUCUACUUAAUUUGUGAAGUUUAGGAGCUCAAAGAGUUCGAAUUUAGAGUGAUUAAUCUUCCCAUCCAAAUAGAUUCGAAUUAAAGAUCGAUCCUUUGCAUGGGAUUGAUUCUUUAGAAGGGAAAAUUAUUUGAGGGUUGUUAAUCGUGUUAUAUUUUCUUCUUGGCCGCCCUGCCGGGAUGAUCAUAAUUGCAUAGAAUGAUGAAGGCUUUUCAACCACUUCUCUAUCCUAUCGAGAGAGAGAGAGAGAGAGAGAGAAAUUGAUCUUUAAGAUAUAAAUUUUGGAAUUGGAGAGAGCUGGUUCUUGAAUUAGGGAGAAAUUGCCUAUAUUUUCAUUUUACAGUUGCAAAAUAAACAUCUGAGGUUUUCAGUCAAAUUGAGCACUUUUUAGUGGUUUAGAAAGCUUAAACUUGGAACUUAUUGAUAAAAGUUUAAUUCUAGCAUUAAAAGUGAGUUACUUCAAAGUUUUCCUCCUUUUCUGUUUCAGUAAGGAAGUUCUUUCUUCCUAUGGAAAAUGAAAAAGAAAGGUAGGUUUAGGAUUAUCAGAAGAAUUAAUGGGAAGGAUUAUCCGUUGAGUAAAUCAAAGAACAGACAGUAAAGCAAUAUAAUCUGCUUUUCCUGUUGUGCGUUUUAUACAUUUUCUAACUGUUUUCUUAUUGGAUUUACAGUGUACCAGUAUCCAGCUCUCCCCAAGGCGGACAUAAUCACUGAAGUGCUCCCCGCAUUUCGAGAAAAGGAAGGAAGCUAUAGGUUUAGAAUAUAAAUUUGCCAAUUCAGAGUAUAGAAUUCAAACUUCGAAUUGUAAUUUUACAUAGUUAUUGUAUUAAUUCAUUUAAAAUGCUCUAGUUUGUUCGAACUAACAUUUGUAACUUUUUUUGUUUCAUCAUAUAUUCAUGUCUAUUUUUAGCAUGGAAGCUGACGUAUGGUUUUCCAUCGAUUUAAUCCCUUCAGUUCAAUUAAAA
rnacentral:lncRNA from 1 species